AUCAUCUUAGAAUUCUUUGCCAACUGAUGAUUGCCUUAAGCAAGCAUGAAACCGGUCUUGGUAGCUUGUCUCA
rnacentral:hammerhead_ribozyme from 1 species